UAUAUUGAAACUUGAAUAGUCUUUCAAUGUCCCAAAACUAUUUCAAUAUUCAUAAAUAGUAGCAUUAUAAUCUUCUUCUACACCUUCAUCCUCGUGAUAUUUAUCUUCAAAAUCAACAUCUUCAUCAUCUUCCACAUCUUUAAGAACUAAAAGAGUGCUAUUUAGUUCUCAAGUUAGUAGAUGAUAUUUUUCCUUUAUCUUUUGGCAUAGAUCUUGAAAUAGGUGCAUAUGCA
rnacentral:misc_RNA from 1 species